rnacentral:rRNA from 1 species
UACGGGGGGGCAAGCGUUGUUCGGAAUUACUGGGCGUAAAGGGCUCGUAGGCGGCCAACUAAGUCAGACGUGAAAUCCCUCGGCUUAACCGGGGAACUGCGUCUGAUACUGGAUGGCUUGAGAUUGGGAGAGGGAUGCGGAAUUCCAGGUGUAGCGGUGAAAUGCGUAGAUAUCUGGAGGAACACCGGUGGCGAAGGCGGCAUCCUGGACCAACACUGACGCUGAGGAGCGAAAGCCAAGGGAGCAAACGGG